rnacentral:rRNA from 1 species
AUGCAGUCGAACGGUAGAGGAGCAAUCCUCGAGAGUGGCGAACGAGUGAGUAAUACAUCGGAACGUGCCCAGUCGUGGGGGAUAACGUAGCGAAAGCUACGCUAAUACCGCAUACGACCCGAGGGUGAAAGCGGGGGACUCGCAAGAGCCUCGCGCGAUUGGAGCGGCCGAUAGCAGAUUAGGUAGUUGGUGGGGUAAAGGCCCACCAAGCCUGCGAUCUGUAGCUGGUCUGAGAGGACGACCAGCCACACUGGGACUGAGACACGGCUCAGGCUCCUACGGGAGGCAGCAGUGGGGAAUUUUGGACAAUGGGCGAAAGCCUGAUCCAGCCAUACCGCGUGCGGGAAGAAGGCCUUCGGGUUGUAAACCGCUUUUGUCAGGGAAGAAAUACUUCGGGCUAAUACCCUGGGGUGAUGACGGUACCUGAAGAAUAAGCACCGGCUAACUACGUGCCAGCAGCCGCGGUAAUACGUAGGGUGCAAGCGUUAAUCGGAAUUACUGGGCGUAAAGCGUGCGCAGGCGGUUCUAUAAGACAGAUGUGAAAUCCCCGGGCUCAACCUGGGAACUGCAUUUGUGACUGUAGAGCUAGAGUACGGUAGAGGGGGAUGGAAUUCCGCGUGUAGCAGUGAAAUGCGUAGAUAUGCGGAGGAACACCGAUGGCGAAGGCAAUCCCCUGGACCUGUACUGACGCUCAUGCACG